rnacentral:rRNA from 1 species
UUUCGGGCGCCCGCUGGCGGCGUGCUUAACACAUGCAAGUCGAGCGAGAUUUUAAGAACUAGCUUGCUAGUUCUUAAAUGACAGCGGCGGACGGGUGAGUAACGCGUGGGCAACCUGCCCUGUGGAAAGGGAUAGCCUCGGGAAACCGGGAUUAAUACCUUAUAAUAUUAGCACUUCCCAUGAAGAGCUAAUCAAAGAUUUAUCGCCACAGGAUGAGCCCGCGUCCCAUUAGCUAGUUGGUGAGAUAACAGCUCACCAAGGCGACGAUGGGUAGCCGACCUGAGAGGGUGAUCGGCCACACUGGGACUGAGACACGGCCCAGACUCCUACGGGAGGCAGCAGUGGGGAAUAUUGCGCAAUGGGGGAAACCCUGACGCAGCAACGCCGCGUGAGUGAUGAAGGUUUUCGGAUCGUAAAACUCUGUUUUUGGGGAAGAAUAAUGACGGUACCCAAGGAGGAAGCCCCGGCUAACUACGUGCCAGCAGCCGCGGUAAUACGUAGGGGGCAAGCGUUGUCCGGAAUCAUUGGGCGUAAAGGGCGUGUAGGCGGUAUGAUAAGUCAGGUGUGAAAGUUUUGGGGCCUCAACCCCA